rnacentral:rRNA from 1 species
AUGCCGGGGCCGGGUAGCCAGAACGGACGGGCGUCGCCGCCCAAGUCCGAGAACAUCCACGGCCUCGUGCGCGCUGGCGACGUGGCGGCCGUCCAGAGGAAGCUGCAGGAGAACCCCGCCCUCCUCAACGACAAGAAUCCUGUGAUGUGCCAAACACCACUUCAUGUCGCAGCUGGAUACAAUAAUACUGAGAUAGUGAAAUUCCUUCUUGAUUGGCAAGGGCAAGGUGCAGAUAGGGUUGAGGUGGAGGCAAAGAACAUGUACGGAGAGACACCCCUGCAUAUGGCAGUAAAAAAUAGUUCUUAUGAAUCAGCAAAAUUGCUCCUUGAACGUGGUGUACAUACAGGAGCCAAAGCAAAUAAUGGCAUGUCACCAUUGCAUUUAGCUGUCUGGCAUGCACUUCAAACCGGAGAUUGCAGCACCGUCAAUUUGUUGCUAAGCUAUAAUGCAGAUUGCAAUGCUAAAGAUGAUGAAGGCAAAAUCCCCUUAAAUCAUAUCCCAGGAGGAGCUGGCAAUGAGAUGCUGCUCCAGCUCCUCACUCGCCAUAUGGAAGAACAAAGAAAACAAAAAGCCCUCAUGACAUGUCAUGAACAACAGUCAAUGGCGGAGUUUGAAGAAGCAAUAUCACAAAUCGUGGGGUUGCAAGAGCUGAAAAUGCAAUUACGUCGAUGGGCCAGGGGAAUGCUUUUUGAUGAAAAGCGCCGGGCUAUGGGCUUAGGGAUUGCUACCAGAAGAGCUCCCCACAUGGCAUUUCUGGGCAAUCCAGGAACAGGUAAAACAAUGGUUGCUCGUAUUCUUGGAAAGCUCCUACAUAUGAUUGGGAUUCUCCCUACUGACAAAGUUACUGAAGUUCAGCGAACUGAUCUUGUUGGAGAAUUUGUGGGGCAUACUGGACCAAAGACGAGGCGGAAGAUAAAAGACGCCGAGGGAGGGAUUCUGUUUGUGGAUGAAGCUUACAGGUUGAUACCAUCGCAAAAAUCGGAUGAUAAGGAUUAUGGUUUGGAGGCACUGGAGGAGAUAAUGUCUGUAAUGGACAGUGGCAAAGUAGUUGUCAUAUUUGCUGGGUACUGCGAGCAAAUGAAGCGUGUCAUUGCCUCGAACGAUGGUUUCUGUAGGAGGGUCACGAUGUUCUUUGACUUUGAUGAUUUCACCACGACAGAAUUAGCGGAGAUAUUGCUUCUGAAGAUGAAUAGCCUGACUGACACAAGUUUGCUUUACGGGUUCAGGCUGCACCGGAGCUGCACCAGAGGUGCCGUUGGAGAGCUGAUUGCCAGGGGGACCACUGAGGAGUGGCUUAAACAGAUGAACGGAGGUCUGGUAGACACACUGCUUGUCAAUGCACGUGAAAACUUGGAUCUUCGUCUUGAUUUCAGUUGCAAUGACGCUGAGACCAUGAUCACAAUCACAUUGGAAGACCUGGAAGCAGGCCUAAGGCAGAUCUCGAGACAGAGACAUUUGCGGUGA